rnacentral:rRNA from 1 species
GAUGAACGCUGGCUACAGGCUUAACACAUGCAAGUCGAGGGGAAACGCCAUCGAAAGCUUGCUUUUGAUGGGCGUCGACCGGCGCACGGGUGAGUAACGCGUAUCCCUCCUGCCUACCACUUGGGGAUAACCUUGCGAAAGUAAGACUAAUACCCAAUGAUAUCCCACGAAGACAUCUGAAUGGGAUUAAAGAUUUAUCGGUGAUGGAUGGGGUUGGGUCUGAUUAGCUUGUUGGCGGAGUAACGGCCCAGCAAGGCAACGUACAGUAGGGGUUCUGAGAGUAAGGUCCCCUACAAUGGAACUGCGACACAGUCCAAACUGCUACGGGGGGCAGCAGUGAGUAAGACUAGUGAAGGGGCGAGAGCCUGAACCAGCCGAGUGGCGUGCAGGAAGACGGCGGUUGUGGUGGUAAACUGCUUGUAUAAAAGAGUAGAGUGUGACACGUGUGACUUUUUGAAUGUACCUAAUGAAUAAGGACCGGCUAAUUCCGUG